AUGAACAUACUAGACUACCUGAAGCCUGACAAAUUUCUAGACAAGUAUAUCCUCAAACGGUACACAAAGACUGCAAAAUCACAAGCAACAUUUGAUACAAGGGUCUACAACACGACUGCAUCAGAUGGCAGCUCAAGACUAUCGAAGCAAGACAUCUUGCUGCAGCUAAAUUUGAUGAUUAACAAGAAAGCGAUGAGAUGUGACCAGCAAUAUGACAGAGCCUUCUAUGUUCUCAAGAGGAUAGUGGAAGAGCUUUAUGCAAUACAUUCAGAAAAUCGAGCGGAUGCUGACCAAAGGAUGGCUGAAGAGGAUCCUGAAAUUGAAGAUGACCUUCAUUAUUAUGCAGCUGAAAUGCUCCAGGCCGCUACUCAAGCCAACCAAAGCAAGAAGGGUGUUGACCAAUUAAUGCAGCAGCGGCAACAAGAGACGAUGAACUGCCACUAUACUCUGAAACAAAGGGUAGGAAGAAAAUUUCUGCAACAAAGAAAAGUGACAGGAGAGCUCAAAUAA
rnacentral:rRNA from 1 species